AGUGAACGCUGGCGGCAGGCCUAACACAUGCAAGUCGAGCGCCCAGCAAUGGGAGCGGCAGACGGGAUAGUAACACGUGGGAACGUACCUUUCAGUUCGGAACAACCAAGGGAAACUUUGGCUAAUACCGAAUACGCCCGUAAGGGGAAAGAUUUAUCGCUGAAAGAUCGGCCCGCGUCUGAUUAGCUAGUUGGUGAGGUAAUGGCUCACCAAGGCGACGAUCAGUAGCUGGUCUGAGAGGAUGAUCAGCAUCACUGGGACUGAGACACGGCCCAGACUCCUGCGGGAGGCAGCAGUGGGGAAUAUUGGACAAUGGGCGCAAGCCUGAUCCAGCCAUGCCGCGUGAGUGAUGAAGGCCUUAGGGUUGUAAAGCUCUUUCGUCAGGGAAGAUAAUGACGGUACCUGAAGAAGAAGCCCCGGCUAACUUCGUGCCAGCCGCCGCAGUAAGAC
rnacentral:rRNA from 1 species